GUAACUAGCUUUGGCAGUACAUAUACUAAAACGAUAUAGAGAAGAUUAGCAUGGCCCCUACGCAACGAUAACACGCAAAACCGUGAAGAAUAAACCGUUCCACAUUUUU